rnacentral:sRNA from 2 species
CUCAAAUCCUUUUUGUCUCUUCUCAUUUCACUAACAGAAUUCAGAAGGAGCUAGCUGAAAUAACCCUUGAUCCUCCUCCUAAUUGCAGUGCUGGGCCUAAAGGAGAUAACAUUUAUGAAUGGAGAUCAACUAUACUUGGUCCACCGGGUUCUGUAUAUGAAGGUGGUGUGUUUUUUCUGGAUAUCACAUUUUCAUCAGAUUAUCCAUUUAAGCCACCAAAGGUUACUUUCCGCACCAGAAUCUAUCACUGCAACAUCAACAGUCAGGGAGUCAUCUGUCUGGACAUCCUUAAAGACAACUGGAGUCCCGCUUUGACUAUUUCAAAGGUUUUGCUGUCUAUUUGUUCCCUUUUGACAGACUGCAACCCUGCGGAUCCUCUGGUUGGAAGCAUAGCCACUCAGUAUUUGACCAACAGAGCAGAACACGACAGGAUAGCCAGACAGUGGACCAAGAGAUACGCAACAUAAUUCACAUAAUUUGUAUGCAGUGUGAAGGAGCA